rnacentral:rRNA from 1 species
UACGUAGGUGGCGAGCGUUGUCCGGAUUUACUGGGCGUAAAGAGCGCGCAGGCGGUCGUACAAGUCGCGUGUGAAAGCCCCCGGCUCAACUGGGGAGGGACACGCGAUACUGUUCGACUCGAAGGCAGGAGAGGGAAGUGGAAUUCCCGGUGUAGUGGUGAAAUGCGUAGAUAUCGGGAGGAACACCAGUGGCGAAGGCGACUUCCUGGCCUGUUCUUGACGCUGAGGCGCGAAAGCUAGGGUAGCAAACGGG